rnacentral:misc_RNA from 1 species
GAUGAAGAACGCAGCGAAAUGCGAUAAGUAAUGUGAAUUGCAGAAUCCAGUGAAUCAUCGAAUCUUUGAACGCACAUUGCGCCCGCCAGUAUUCUGGCGGGCAUGCCUGUCUGAGCGUCAUUUCAACCCUCAUGCCCCUAGGGCGUGGUGUUGGGGAUCGGCCAAAGCCCGCGAGGGACGGCCGGCCCCUAAAUCUAGUGGCGGACCCGUCGUGGCCUCCUCUGCGAAGUAGUGAUAUUCCGCAUCGGAGAGCGACGAGCCCCUGCCGUUAAACCCCCAACUUUCCAAGGUUGACCUCAGAUCAGGUAGGAAUACCCGCUGAACUUAAGCAUAUCAAUAAGCGGAGGA